AGAGUUUGAUCAUGGCUCAGGACGAACGCUGGCGGCGUGCUUAAUACAUGCAAGUCGAGCGAGGUUACUGCGACAGAUCCCUUCGGGGUGAAGUUGCUUUAGCCUAGCGGCGGACGGGUGAGUAACGCGUGGGUAACCUACCCUAAAGUUCGGGAUAACAGCGGGAAACCGCUGCUAAUACCGGAUGCCUUUACCAUGUGGCAUCACAAGGUAAAGAAAGGUAACGCUUUAGGAUGGGCCCGCGUCCCAUUAGCUAGUUGGUGAGGUAACAGCUCACCAAGGCGACGAUGGGUAGCCGGCCUGAGAGGGUGGACGGCCACACUGGGACUGAGACACGGCCCAGACUCCUACGGGAGGCAGCAGUAGGGAAUAUUGCGCAAUGGACGGAAGUCUGACGCAGCGACGCCGCGUGAGCGAUGAAGGCCUUCGGGUUGUAAAGCUCUGUCCUUGGGGAAGAAGGUCUUCGGACUUGACGGUACCCAAGAAGAAAGCCCCGGCUAACUACGUGCCAGCAGCCGCGGUAAUACGUAGGGGGCGAGCGUUGUCCGGAAUUACUGGGCGUAAAGGGUGCGUAGGCGGCCCUUUAAGUCAGAUGUGAAAGCCCGCAGCUUAACUGCGGAAUUGCAUUUGAAACUGGAGGGCUUGAGUGUCGGAGAGGGUAGUGGAAUUCCCAGUGUAGCGGUGAAAUGCGUAGAUAUUGGGAGGAACACCAGUGGCGAAGGCGACUGCCUGGACGAUAACUGACGCUGAGGCACGAAAGCUAGGGGAGCAAACAGGAUUAGAUACCCUGGUAGUCCUAGCCGUAAACGAUGGGUACUAGGUGUAGGUGGUUUCGAUACCAUCUGUGCCGUAGUUAACGCAUUAAGUACCCCGCCUGGGGAGUACGUGCGCAAGCAUGAAACUCAAAGGAAUUGACGG
rnacentral:rRNA from 1 species